UCAGCAUUUCGGCCUUUUUUGGCUAAGAUCAAAUGUAGCAAUUUUUGGCACCAAGGGGAAGGUGUCAGGGCUGGCUCUAGCCUUCCCAGUGCUGGCCUAGCAUUGCAGUACUUCCAGGCCCAGUGCCAGUUCC
rnacentral:snRNA from 1 species